GCUCCAGACUCCUACGGGAGGCAGCAGUGGGGAAUAUUGCACAAUGGGGGGAACCCUGAUGCAGCGACGCCGCGUGGGUGAAGGAGCACCUCGGUGCGUAAAGCCCUAUCGGCAGGGAAGAAAAGCGAACAGGUUCGCCUGGACGGUACCUGACUAAGAAGCCCCGGCUAACUACGUGCCAGCAGCCGCGGUAAUACGUAGGGGGCAAGCGUUAUCCGGAUUCACUGGGUGUAAAGGGAGCGUAGACGGCGACGCAAGUCUGGAGUGAAAGCCCGGGGCCCAACCCCGGGACUGCUCUUGGAACUGCGUGGCUGGAGUGCAGGAGGGGCAGGCGGAAUUCCUGGUGUAGCGGUGAAAUGCGUAGAUAUCAGGAGGAACACCGGUGGCGAAGGCGGCCUGCUGGACUGCAACUGACGUUGAGGCACGAAAGCGUGGGUAUCGAACAGGAUUAGAUACCCUUGUAA
rnacentral:rRNA from 1 species